rnacentral:lncRNA from 7 species
CGCUUGGCCCUGUGGAGCCUGUUUGCUUGCACUUCCGGCCAUCAUUCCCACGGACCUGCUGCCUUCUCUAGUUCAGUCAAAAAUGCAAGAUAAAAACCAUUUUGUCUGCGAGAAUAGAGUUUCUACUUCAGAACUGUGGGUUCAUAUUCACAAGUCUGCUGAACACAUCAUGUCACAAGUCAAGCUGAAUGCCAGAGGAGACGCUCCAGAUGGACUCAGUCUGGCACUCCUGGCUCCAGAAAGAAAAAAGAAAAAGCUGAGGUCAAAUCUUAACGCUACCAAAUGUAAGGUGCAACUUGUUUAUGUUCACUUCAGCAGGGCCAGUGUUUUUCCUUUUAUUUUGUUUGUGUAAGAAAUACAUCACAGUAUGAAGUCAGGCUUACUUGCUUCAUUUCGGGUGCACCAAUGUUGCAAGUUCCCCAGAAGAGCACAGGAAUGAGAAAAGCACCAGUAGUUUUAUAUAACCAAGAGAAUGAGUCAGUGGAAAAACAGAAACAAAAAGAAAACCCACAGAUUUUAAUGAAUAGUGUGUUUAAAAAACACUCACAACCCAAACAACAAAAUUAUCACUGUAAAAAUGUUACUUCAAGCCCUUAUGUUAGUUUUUUUUUCAGAAUUAAAGGGGACAAGAACCUACUUAUUUUAGCUUAUUACUAAGUUGAAAGAACCUCUUGAAAGCAUAACUGAAUGCUCUUCCUUUGCUUUACUCUUUCAUUUGCCUUUCACGUUCUGUUGGUCUGUUACUGUUUGGUUCCCGGACCCACAAGCAAUUGCUGCCAUUUUUUACAUCUUUUAAUUCUUUUGUUACAAAGAACAAUCUCUGCUUUGGAUAGCUACUGACUGACUGUGUGCUGUGUUGUGCUCUCUCACAAGUGACAAAGAAAACGUGGUCCACUUUGGCCAGUGCUCCAGAAGUAACCAAUUGCAAUGCUGUCUCUGAUUUAGAAUGUUAAUAUUUGAUUGAAUUUCCUACAGCUACUUAUGUAGGGAGAAUUUAUUUUUAGGGGAAUAUUCUUAAAUUUAGACUU